UACGGAGGGUGCAAGCGUUAUCCGGAUUCACUGGGUUUAAAGGGUGCGUAGGUGGGUUGGUAAGUCAGUGGUGAAAUCUCCGAGCUUAACUUGGAAACUGCCAUUGAUACUAUCAGUCUUGAAUAUUGUGGAGGUCAGCGGAAUAUGUCAUGUAGCGGUGAAAUGCUUAGAUAUGACAUAGAACACCAAUUGCGAAGGCGGCCGACUGGACACAUAUUGACGCUGAGGCUCGAAAGCAUGGGGAGCAAACAGG
rnacentral:rRNA from 1 species